rnacentral:tmRNA from 1 species
GCUCUUGUUGCGAUGGGACCGUUAGGAAGACCCUGGGCUGCGUCCUUUGGUUUCUUUUUCCUGGCGGUCGUCAGCCUAGCCACACCCACCCCUGGAGAAGAUGAUGAUAUUCCUGUAAAAAUCCAUCGGCUGACCUUCGUGAAGGGACUAGUACCAGAUGUUACUGGCGGGAGCAGCUAUUAUGUCUGCGUAUAUCCAUCCAGGAAAUUAUUCUGCACGCCCACCCGCUGGAAAGAUUUAUCCAGAUUCCUGAACUCUGAAACCUUGAACCAGGUAUGCAGCGCCCGGACCAUUUACAGUGUUGUGCCAGUAGAAAUGCUAAGAAUCAUAUCUUUGCCGCUUCCACCUGAGAUCAAGUCUAUCGUUGGUGGGUCGAUUAGAAGUCAAUAUGUAUCCUUUCCAACUUUCAUCUCCCUGCAUCCUGCCAAGUUGCCCAUCUGGAAGUCAUUCGCCAACCUCAAAGUGUCCAUGAAAUUUAGAUCCAGUCAGUGGGAAGUCGCCUUUAGUGUAGUUUCAAAAACUGAUUAUGCCAUAACAUACUGGGCAGAAAUACCUGGAUUUUUGAUACACGAGUCUGCUACCAUAAAUCUCAUCAACCAGCCCCUCCUGGCACUUUAUGCAGAUUUGCACGUGGACAUGGUUAUGCGACUGACUGAUAAAUUUAUUUAUUGUCAAACAUACACCCUUCAACAAAAAAAUUUGACUGACCCUAGAACUGGGAAGAGACCAACUUCCUCUGUGCUAAUUCCUUCUCCCCAUGUGAAGAACUGUCAAAUCAGGAGAAGGAAUGAGACCCAUUUUGUGGACACUUGUUCCUCGGCAUGGGAUAACUAUACUUCUGAGGCUCAUAAUAUUUCAAGGAACAGUUCUUCAAGAGGUUCAAAUGCCACACAGCUGGUCAACAUUACAGCCAACCCCUGCACUCUCCCUACCUUGUGGGAUAACUGGCCAUGUUAUACCAACUACAGAAGUUCGCCAGUACCAGAGAUUGUCAUUCAUGAAAAUAUUCUCCUAGAGGGACGGGCAAUUUAUAUAAUUUAUCACCAAAUUGGACUUUUCGAUCAGCCACGGUUGUGUGUGGCCACUUUUUGGAUGUCUAAAGAGGAAACACUCCUCAUGCAGCUUGAUUACCCUUGUGAAGUUUCUGUAGAGAAAAAGGUGUAGCAGUUUUGGGCUUCCUGAUAACCAGAUGUUGCAGACUCUGAAGUGCUGACUCGGCGUGGGUGGUUACUUUCUGUUUCCCAUGACUCACAUGUUUGGCAGCAAGCUUGUCAGACAGUUGGAAAAGCAUACUUUUUUGUUGCCUGGGUUUCAUCCUAGAUUAUAAAAUCCCAAUUCUCCUCAUGCUAGUCGCGUCCUCUCUGCUUUUGGACACUCAUCAUGGAGACAACCAAUGUCUGCUCCCAGGCUCCUCUUGGACCCGCUGGUUACAUCUAUUACCAGCUUGUGGAUGACUUUCCUCUAGAGGAGGCAUCCCUUCUAUCCACCAACUUCACUUCAGCCAAAGCCUGUCUUUUACCUCUGGUAACAGGCUUGACCGUGGAACCUGGAUUUAAUUUCAAUGUCAAGGCACCGUGUCAGAAAAUCAUGUUUGAGUCUCUGACCGUUAAGCCUACAAAAUACUUCAACCAUGCCAUCGUCUUUCACAACAGUAACAAGAUUCCCCCAAUUUUUCAUGGACGUGGCCUGGAACAGCUCUGUGAGGCCACUAGGCUCAUGUUUGGCUUUUCCAGCUUUAAGCCUGAUGCUUCUAAAGGACAAUGGAAAAGCAGCACCCACCUACCACAAAAUCCAGAAAAAUAUAUUGGCUGGGUAGUGGUGGCGGAGAGUUUUAAAGAGCGCCUGAUCUGUGGGGAGUUGGCCAUGUUGUCAGCACCCAUGAAAACUGUGACCAUAAACAACAAACUCUGCUUCAAAGUACCCCUACAUGAUACCAGAUUUCUAAGCUCUGACCAGCUACUGCCCUUCUAUGAUGAAAAUGUCAGCAGGAUCAUGUAUGAGAGCUACUACACCAACGUGGCCCAAGCUGUGCGCAUUCGAGAUGUCACUGGACUGAUAGAAGCCCUGCAGGAAAGAGCUGUUACAGAACAGUACAAAACAGCAAAAUUGGCAAGUCUGAAAACAUAUCCUGCAGAAAACUGCGGUGCCGGCAACCUAGAAUAUGCUGUCAUUGACGCUGCAGUGUCUGAACUGGCCGUCAGCCACGGUCUUGCUUUCCUGGAAGCACCUCAGGAGGAGUCUCCCAUCCAGAACUAUGUCCAGUGGCCCAUGUUUUCAGAAGAUGCUACCCCAGAAGGAAGAAUUAAAGCCCUCCAGGAAUGGAAUGCCAAGAUGGCCAUCCACGUCCACGCUCAAGUCCUCAGUGCCAACUCUGUCCUGUACGUGACCAAAGUUGGGCAGUCUGCAGGAAAGGCUGUUGGGGGGAAACAAGAUGACAUGUUCCUGGGCCGCUACUAUAUGCAGCAUGGACUGGGCCACCUCAAUGUGCAAACUAGGGAUGAGAACAACACCGUGGUGUUCCCAGGCGUGCCAGAUUCCUGCAUGAAUGGGUCCCAGUACACUGUACAUCAUCUUGCCUAUGCUGCCUCCAUGUCUCCCCAUAUUCUUGCCCGGCUCUGCUACUAUCUUCAGAUGUGUCAAAACCAGCGGCUAGCCUCCACGCCUCAGGGCACUACCGUGCCUGCCUACGUGACCACCACAGCCAACACUUCCAUGUGUGAUCUUUGUGGAGGGGACCUCCCAGCCGUGUGCCUCCACACCCUCUUUUUUCGUCUGAGGGACAGAUUUCCUCAGGUGCUGGCCACGCAGAAGCGUGACCCUUAUGUGGUAACCGGGAUAGCUGGGCCCCACAAUGACAUGGAGAUUCUUGGAAACUUUGGAAGUUUCAAAGAAAAAGAUGAUGACCAGGAGAAUGGACAGAGAUACUCAUAUUGGCAACUAAAUGCCAACUUAACUGAAAGGCUGGAAGAGAUUGGGGUAACAGCUUCCACGCCAGCGUGUCAGCUGAUCACAGACGUAGACUCUUUUUUGACGGUCUUCAAAAAGAUUGAUGCCAUCGUGGACGAGGAGACCAUCAGGUUUAAUGAUGGACUUGUGAGAAAUAACAUCAACUACAAAGAAUCUGUCAAGUCUAUUGCCCACGUGCUACAACUGCAGUGUAACACCAACUGGCUGCCACCGUGCCCAAUCAUCCAUAACCUAUUUACCAGGUCCUUCUUCACCAUACUCCAGGACAUGUCAUUCCCUCUCUGUGUCACCCACCACACAGAAAAUCCUCUCAACUAUGGGACAGUCAGUACCUGGAUGUCCAACCAUUUCCAGAACCUAUGGAGCAACUUCAAGUCUAUCUGGUUUGACAAGGGGCUGCUCACUUGCAGUGACAUGCGAGUAGUCCACACUGAAACCAGCUCUGAUAUGGAAAACCUGGCUGCAGACCUCCCCAAGCAAAGAUGCGCCAUUAGAUUGUCCAGAGCCCAGAUCUUUGCGCCCAAGGCCCUGAAGAUAAAAAACAGGAUCAUCUUUUCCAACUCUUCCAGCACAGAAUCCCUGUCUGCCAGCUUCGUGAAAGCUGGGAAGGCAGAGAACCCCAUCACUGCCGGUCCCUACAUGCACUUCCUAACACAGCUCCAUAAACAGCUGUUCCCCACAACCAAAACUGGGGCCUAUUACAUCUGGCAAACCUUCAUGUCCAGCAAAAAACUUCCACAGGCAGGUUCCACCAAUGCUAAAAAACUCUCAGAGUUUAUUUCCUAUCUCAUGACCAGCAGUCUAGCACACGAUGAGGUCAAUGUGCUAGACUACGUACCAACCACCCUCAUGGCCUACGCGAAGCAGCGACUCAACAAUGCCAUCUUGCGGCUAUGUGGGCAAACGCAGUUCUAUGCCACCACCAUAAACUUUCUACAACCCACAAUCCUUUCCAUGCCCAGCCUGGACUAUCCGCAUGUGGCUGGUCCCGUUCCUGUGCAAGAUUUGACAACAUACAUGGACAUGACUCGGGACCAGUCUGCCACAGUGAUCCAGAGCUCAUGCAGAGAAGAUCCAGCCGCGGUGUGUAAGAUGCGCCCCAUCGUGACAAUACCCAUGAUGGUUAACAAAUAUUCAGGCUCUAAUGGGAAUAAUUCUAUUUUUCAAAGUGGUAACAUGGGUUAUUUCAUGGGCAGGGGGGUUGAUAGAAAGUUGUUGCCAGAUAUCCCUAGGAUGAGAAAGCAUGUCAACACCUCUAUGAGGAGAAGAUAUGCCUUUGCUUCCCCCAUGACAGAGAGUCUCUUGACCCAGCCAGGUAAGGGUACUGUCCGCACCUAUCAGCUGGAAAAAACUAGAAAGAUUAUUCACGAUAUCAUAGCAUCUGGGAAUGCUGAGCCUGAGAACCUGGUUUUAGAGUUGGUAAAAUGUUUAGGGCACGAAUGUGCAACACUAACUUCAGAUGAUGUGGAAUUCUAUCUGGGAGAGUUUUCAUUUAUGGUGAAUGAUGUCAUGGAGGUUCUCGAAACCUUGAAGGCUUCGGGGUGUGCCUUCAGUGAGGAGAGCGUACAGGCUUUGCUUCCAACUUCAAGUCCAGGUACAUCAGAGUCAUUUGUAGAAGUGACAGACAAUAUUAUAACUAGUCUUCCAGAAAUUUCUGUUACUCAGUUCACUGCUGCUCCCCCAAAACGCAGACGCAUUGCUACUUUUGAGGAUAUAGAUUUAUAAUGUCUAAGGAAGUGGCUGUACUCUAUGCUCAAAUUUAUGGAUUAUGCAUGGACCUCAGCCUGGUACCAUACAUGGACCCUAGCAGCCUAAAUCUUAGAUCCAUCUCCAAUAAUUAUCACAAGCUCUGUCAGAUUCAAAAAAUAAUUGGUGGCCAACUUCUAGAAAAUAAUACCCAAACACCUUGCGCUCUCACGCUGGAACUUGAACACUUGCUCUGUAAUGCUGUAGAAUUGUGUAAAAGUGUACUCUCACAUGAAAAUACCUAUGAUCAUGUACUCUGUAGCAAACAGUGUGUUUUGGAUGUUAGUUGCCUUGCCUGCUUCUAUGGUGGAGAUACUGUGGAUAUACCAUUGGACACCAUCAAUAAAAUUGACAUGUUAUUCAAAAA